GUCAUGCGUGCAUAGUGCAUACUUGUAAUCCCAGCUGGUGGGGGCUGAUGCUGGUGGAUCCUUUCAGCUCUGGAGUUCUGAGCUGCAGUGGGCUGGGCCAAUCAGGUGUCCACACCAAGUCUGACAUCAAUAUCAUGAGCUCCUGGGAGGGGGUGGUGGUGAGGAGGGGCCAGAUAGACACAAGACCAGAGAGCCUUAAGAGGCUGAAACUGGCCUGUGUCAGAAACAGCAGGUCAAAGCUCCCAUGCCAAUCAGCAGUGGGAUCAGGCCUGUGAGUAGCCCCUGCAUGUCUAGCCAAAGCAAGAGAGGGAGGCCCACUCUU
rnacentral:SRP_RNA from 1 species